GAUGGAACCAAGGACAGCAAAUGCUGACGAAGAGAAGAGACGGACAAGCGUUUUCUUGCGGUUAAUACCGAAGGGACGGGAUGAAACAAGGAAGCCAAAAUGCAGCGGCCCCUCGAUAUCACCAGGAACUGCUACAGGAGGAGGCGUUCUGGCACGGGUAACUAAGGGCGAUGGAUUUUACUCUGCCUCCAUCAACAGGCGCUGGCUGGCAAAGUCGUCGUGUCCCAACGGAGACUCUUAGGCAGGACGGGAGGAGUUCGGAUCCGCAGCCUGCCAGAAGAAAGUCGCCCGGGAGGGGUUGCUAGCCUUGAGCUACAGGCGCUGGUGCCGAAGCCCAGUCGGGCAGUCGAAGGAGCCUUGUCGCAGCUGGGAGCUCUGCGGAGAUGCGCGGCCGGCCGUGGAGGAUGAGCUCUGACUUGCAGCGUGGACACAGCUAAGUCCUGGGCCGCAUCGUAUGCGAGCGGGGCUGGGAGGUGCAAGGCGGUUGUCCCCUAGGUGUGGUCACUGGCGCCGCUGGCCGUGGCCGUUUGCCCACAGAGCUGAGAGGACCAAACAUACUAAUUGCCUGACCUGGAGAUGAAUUAGUGCUUGCAGGCUUUCAGGUAGGUCCAGUGCAAGUGCAGCUUA